AACCUUGAGAAGGGGAAGCUACCACAACUGAGAAAGAGAAGCCUAGUUCGUCGCCACAUAAUCGGCGGCGAGAGCUGAUUCUUUACUGCAAAAUGGUCAUAAUUUAACUAGUUGAGGUAAGUAAUUCUCUAUAAAUAGUUUUCUUGUUGAUAUUCAGGGAAAAAAAAAGUUAGGGUUUAUAUAGAAAAAAUAGAUUAAUUAGUUGCGGGUCUCUCAUUACAUGUUCAAAAACAAAUUUCUAGUUGUUUUGCUGCAUGCAAAUUGUGAAAAAUUGAUGGAUUGUGCCGAUUAUAAUUUUNNN
rnacentral:lncRNA from 1 species